UACGAAGGGGGCUAGCGUUGUUCGGAAUUACUGGGCGUAAAGCGUAUGUAGGCGGAUCUUUAAGUCAGGGGUGAAAUCCCGAGGCUCAACCUCGGAACUGCCUUUGAUACUGGGGAUCUUGAGUCCGGGAGAGGUUAGUGGAACUGCGAGUGUAGAGGUGAAAUUCGUAGAUAUUGGGAAGAACACCGGUGGCGAAGGCGGCUCACUGGCUCGUUUCUGACGCUCAGGCGCGACAGCGUGGGGAUCAAACAGG
rnacentral:rRNA from 1 species